rnacentral:rRNA from 1 species
GACGAACGCUGGCGGCGUGCCUAAUACAUGCAAGUAGAACGCAGUUGCGAACGGGUGAGUAACGCGUAGGUAACUGCCUCAUAGCGGGGGAUCACUAUUGGAAACGAUAGCUAAUACCGCAUACUGUGAGAUGGACCUGCGUUGUAUUAGCUUGUUGGUGAGGUAAAGGCUCACCAAGGCGACGAUACAUAGCCGACCUGGGAGGUAGGACGGCCACAAGUGGACUGGGAAACGGCCCAGGCUCCUACGGGAGGCAGCCGUAGGGAAUCUUCGGCCAUGGACGGAAGUCCUACCGAGCAACGCCGCGGGAGUGAAGAAGGGCUUCGGAUCGUAAAGCUCUGUUCUUAGAGGAGCGGUACCUAACCAGAAAGGGACGGCUAACUCCGUGCCAGCAGCCGCGGUAAUUC